rnacentral:lncRNA from 1 species
AAAAGAGAAAACGAGAACUUCUUUCUUCUUCCUCCUUCUCUGUUUCUAAAUUUUAUUUAUUUUUAAAACCCACAAACACAAAAACCUUCACUUUUCUCUUAGAUCUAAGCUUCGUUUUGAUAAGUGACAGAAGAGAAAGUUGCUCAUUGCCAUACUGCGGUGCUAGUGAGCUAGUUUUCGACGCGACAUCACGAACUUAAAUUUUACCGAAAUUAAUUACGGUACCGUAAUCGCGUGUUAGAGCUAUCAUUAAGGUAAGGGCUCCUUCCAAACUUUUAGUUUGCAUUUAGGACAUUAUUUGUGAUUUUGUGGAAAAGAAAUUUGAUGUGUGAAUUUGUUGAAAAUGAAUUUAAUUUGUUUAUGCGGGAAUUAGUGGGAUUUGUUUUUGGUGUGUUUUGAGGUGUGGUUUGUGGUGAUCCAUAUUUGGUUUGUUUUAUAUAUUCAUAAUUAUUAUUAUGAAUCUUUGAGAUGUGAUUUAGGUGUGGAUUUUGUGGAUAUUGAAUUAAUUAAAUUUGAUGCGUUUGAGUUACGUAAUGAGUUAUUUUCAAAUAAAUGAGUUUGAUCUGAAAUUGAAAUUUUACAAAAAAUUAG